GGCAUUUAUUAACAAAUAAUUACCUCUAUUAUAUCUAGAGAAAUCAAUAAAAGUGACAUAAUACUUUUUUCCUCCUCGGGUCAUGGUUUGCUCAAGGUCUCCUGAACUUAAUAGUUAUGUUUUUUCGUCUGUGGUUUUACAGGUUCAUCUUGUAAUUAAUCUUAGCUUCACUUCACACUUAACACUUUUACGUGCAAUUGGUAAUGCCAG
rnacentral:misc_RNA from 1 species